rnacentral:rRNA from 1 species
UGAGUAACACGUGAGUGACCUGCCUUUUAGACUGGAACAACUUACCGAAAGGUGAGCUAAUGCCGGAUGAGUUAUAUAAGUGCAUGUUUAUAUAGGAAAAGUUGGGAAGACCUGACGCUGAAAGAUGGACUCGCGUCCCAUUAGCUAGUUGGUAGGGUAAUGGCCUACCAAGGCGACGAUGGGUAGCCGGCCUGAGAGGGUGGCCGGCCACACUGGGACUGAGACACGGCCCAGACUCCUACGGGAGGCAGCAG